GAACUUAAGCAUAUCAUAAGCGGAGGAAAGAACUAACAAGGAUUCCCUAGUAACUGCGAGUGAAGCGGGAAAAGCUCAAAUUGAAAUCUGGCAGUUCUCUGGACUGUCCGAGUUGUAAUCUAGAGAAGUGUUACCUGCGCUGGACCAUGUACAAGUCUCCUGGAAUGGAGCAUCACAGAGGGUGAGAAUCCCGUCUUUGACAUGGACUGCCUGUGCGAUGUGGUGCACUCUCAAAGAGUCGAGUUGUUUGGGAAUGCAGCUCAAAAUGGGUGGUAAAUGCCAUCUAAAGCUAAAUAUUGGCGAGAGACCGAUAGCGAACAAGUACCGUGAGGGAAAGAUGAAAAGAACUUUGGAAAGAGAGUUAAACAGUACGUGAACUUGCUGAAAGGGAAACGCUUGAAGUCAGUCACGUUGGCUAGAAAUCAGCCUUGUUUUUGCUUGGUGUACUUUCUGGUUUGACGGGUCAGCAUCGAUCUUUUGACCAUUGGAUAAAGUCUUUGGGAAUGUGGCAUCUUUUGAUGUGUUAUAGCCCAUUGUCGCAUACAAUGGUUGGGAUCGAGGAAUUCAGCACGCCGCAAGGCCGGGUUUCGACCACGUUCGUGCUUAGGAUGCUGGCAUAAUGGCUUUAAUCGACCCGUCUUGAAACACGGACCAAGGAGUCUAACAUGCCUGCGAGUGUUUGGGUGGAAAACCCAUGCGCGCAAUGAAAGUGAAAAGUUGAGAUCCCUGUAGAGGGGAGCAUUGACGCCCGGACCAGACCUUCUGUGACGGAUCCGCGGUAGAGCAUGUAUGUUGGGACCCGAAA
rnacentral:rRNA from 1 species